UAUUGGUCAAUAGCCUAACGGCUGAACCAGCAACUUGGAGGAAUGUAUAGGGAAAACUGGUAAAAUGUGAUGUACCUAGUAAUAUUAGUAAUUAAUAUGAGAUUAACUAAGUUAAUUAAAAUUCUAAAUAGAUACUGAUUAUGACAAUAUCUAGAUAAGUCUUGACCAAGUCACGUGCCAGCAGUCGCGGUAAUACGUGGUAGACAAGUGUUAUUCAUCUUUAUUAGGUUUAAAGGGUACCUAGACGGUUAAUUAAGCAAAAACAUGUACUAAUUAACUAGAGUUUGAUGUAAGAAGGGUUGAGUACGGUGAGUGGAGAGAUAAAAUGCUUUGAUACAAUUUAGGAACUGGUAAAGGCGAAGGCAACCUUCUAUGUAAAAACU
rnacentral:rRNA from 1 species